UUGCGCCCACAUUACGUUGAAACACUGCUUCCCAUACGAUCAUCUAAGUUAAGCAACGUCGAGCCUAAUGAAUACCUAGAUGGGUGACCGCUUGGGAAGACCAGGAGCUGUAUG